CCUAGGAAGCAGGCAUUCCUUGUUGAACUUGCGCUGAUUCAUAAUGCAGUCCUCGGCCCCUGGCUGCUAAUAGGCGACUUCAACCUGAUCAAAGACCCGCAAGACAAAAACAAUAAUCGCAUCUGCCGGCGUUGGAUGAAUCGUUUCCGCCGCACCCUUAAUAGAUCAAGCCUGCACGAAAUCCCCCUAGUUGGUCGCAAGUACACAUGGAGUAAUGAGCAGCAAGUGCCCACCCUUGUUCGUCUAGAUCGUGCCUUCUGUAACGUUGAGUGGGAGCUGCUCUUCUCGGCCACCAAACUCCUGCCGCUUGCCUCUGCCAUCUCCGACCACUGUCCGCUGAUGUUGGUAAAUGAGGGCAUCAUUGCUACCAACCGCCGAUUCCGCUACGAGAGCUAUUGGCAGUUCAUCGCGGGUUUUCACGAGGUAGUGCAGCUGGCCUGGGCGGAAGGAACUGGUGGUAGAUGCCCGAUUUCACGCCUGAACAUGAAGCUUUGGCGCACUAGCAAAGCGCUGAGAAACUGGAGCAGAACGCACAUCGGAGAUCUGCAAAAACAGCUGGCCAUUGCUAAUGAGUUAAUUCUCCAGCUUGAGGUUGCGCAAGAGUCGCGCCAGCUAACGAUUGCUGAACAGGACCUGCGGCGUACGCUUAAAUCCAGAACGAUGGGCUUGGCGGUCUUGCUUAAGAUCAAGCGCCGUCAACGGAGCCGUGUGCUUUGGCUCAAGGCUGGAGACGCCAAUACAAAGUUCUUCCAGCGGAAGGCG
rnacentral:rRNA from 1 species